UGCGUAGGCGGACUAAUAAGUCAGUGGUGAAAUCUUUCGGCUCAACCGGGAAACUGCCAUUGAUACUGUUAGUCUUGAGUUCGGUUGAGGUAGGCGGAAUGUGUAAUGUAGCGGUGAAAUGCUUAGAUAUUACACAGAACACCAAUUGCGUAGGCAGCUUACUAGACCGAGACUGACGCUGAGGCACGAAAGCGUGGGGAGCGAACAGGAUUAGAUACCCUGGUAGUCC
rnacentral:rRNA from 1 species